GUCACUGAGCCGCGCCAGCGGAGCCGGGUACAGCCCCGCUCCUCUCGCCCGCCUUCUCUGGGGCUUGCUUCUUCACCAGGCAUCCGUCGAGCCUUUUCCAUGUCCCCGGUGGACGCAGCCCUUCGCAACGUCCACUCCCAUGGCCGCUAGCCUGAGGAGGCCGUCUUUCACCGCCUGUUCUUCCUCCCCUCCGGACGCGGACGACGAGGGUGUGCGCGGCUCUUGCGGAGAUGCUUCUGUGUGCAAGCGGUACCUGCCCGGCGUGGGGUUAGGGGCCGGCUUCCCCUGGGUGCUGGGGCCUAGGUGAGAGGCGGGCCUGUGUCUGAGGAGUGCGCUUUUACCCAAAAGCGCAAGCCUGGGGAUACCUUGACUGAGAUAAGGCACUGAACAAGGUAGACGCGGACUUGGCAUGGACACACACUUGAAGCAAAUCAUAACUGCGGCCUUGAUGGGGUCCGGAGGAGAAAUGCAGAUGUGCAGUGAGCAGUGGCUACUGGCAGGACCCUUGCAUCCCGCAUUUGGUGAGACUGUCUAAAGAGAGGAAGGCCCCCAAAAUUAACAGAGGAUAUUUUGCUUGUGUCCACGGCGUCAGUCAGCUUAUCAAGACGUUUCUAUGGAAGACAGGAUGCAACUGUCAAAUUCUAAACCUUGGGGCUGGGGGGGAUACCACCUUCUGGAGCUUAAAGGAUGAGGAUCUUCUAUCAAGUACAUCUUGGAAAGUCGAUGUUUCAGGGAUCGUCAUGAGGAAGCUGCACAGCAUCAAGUAAGUGCGGCUUUGGCCGGAAGCCAGAGCCCAGUGGCAUCAGAACCAGCUCCUGGCAGACGGCAGGGCUGACUGCCGGAGACCUCACUGUAGGCACUGCCUUCCUUUCCUGGCCUCCUCCCUCUCUCCCUGGCCCUGGACCCUCACUGCAGUGUGUCCUGCAGUCUUCAAAAUGAAAUAGACCCUCUCCUGUGACCUUUCUGUCCAAGAAUGUGAUUUCUCUAACAUUGAAACAAAUGAUCUAUUGUCGUUUAGUGAUCUGAAUUUUCAUGUGUAUUUGGCUUAUGUCUUCACCCCCAGGAUACAGAAAAGUGCCUGGCUCAGACUAGAUGUGUUGUAAAUAUUUUUGAAUGAACCCAUGGGGGGCUGAGCUGAAUCAGUGAUCAUAUCUGAGAUAUUGGGGGGAUUUGCAUUCUGAGUCUAGUCUUCAUGGAAUUUGUCAAGCUCUAAGUGAUGAGGUUGCUGCUCUUUGCCAAGAGCUUUCCUUUGCCAAGUCCCAUGGUACAUGCCUCAUUUGCAUUGUUUCAUUCAGUCCUCGGAGGCCACUCCUGGAUGAAGUGCUGUCAUUAGCCCCUUUUGACAGAUGAGAAACCUUAGGCUCAAAGAAGUGCAGUGAAUUUGCCUCCGGUCACCUGGCUAGAAAGAGGAUGGAGCAGGGAUUUAAACGCUGACCUCCAGACCAAGGUUAAGGUAUCCCAAUGGUUUUAACCUACAGUCCCUCCCUCCUUUUUAUAUUAGUCAUGUCAAUCAAGUCCUAAUUCUUAUAUUUCACAAAAAUUUUUAUUUAUUUAUUUUUCUGCUGUACAGCAUGGGGGACAAGAUACACUUACAUGAAUGUUUUUUUUCUCCACCCUUUGUUAUGUUACAAUAUGAGUAUCUAGACAUAGUUCUCAUGCUACUCAGCAGGAUCUCAUUGUAAAUCCAUUCCAAGUUGUAUCUGAUAACCCCAAGCUCCCGAUCCCUCCCACUCCCUCCCUCACCCCCCGGGCUGCCACAAGUCUAUUCUCCAGGUCCAUGAUUUUCUUUUCUGUGGAAAUGUUCAUUUCUGCUGUAUAUUAGAUUCCAGUUACAAGUGAAAUCAUAUAAUAUUUGUCUUUGUCUUUAUGGCUCAUUUCACUCAGUAUGAGAGUCUCUAGUUCCACCCAUGUUGCUAUAAAUGGUAUUAUGUCAAUCUUUUUUAUGGCUGAGUAGCAUUCCAUUGUGUAUAUAUACCACAUCUUCCUAAUCCAAUCAUCUGUCAAUGGACAUUGGGUUGUUUCCAUGUCCUGGCUAUUGUGAAUAGUGCUGCAAUGAACAUGCGGGUGCAUGUGUCUCUUUUAAGUAGAGUUUUGUCUGGAUGUAUGCUCAAGAGUGGGAUUGAAGGAUCAUAUGGAAGUUCUAUGUAUACAUUUCUAAGGUGUCUCCAAACUGUUCUCCAUAGUGACUGUACCAGUUUAUAUCCCCACCAGCAGUGCAGGAGGGUUCCCUUUUCUGCACAACCCCUCUAGCACUUGUUAUUUGUGGACUUAUUAAUGAUGGCCAUUCUGACUGGUGUGAGGUGGUAUCUCAUGGUAGUUUUGAUUUGCAUUUCUCUUAUAAUCAGAGAUGUUGAACAUUUUUGCAUGUGCUUGUUGGCCAUCUGUAUAUCUUCCUUGGAGAAAUGUCUAUUCAGCUCUUUUGCCCAUUUUUUCCAUUGUGUGAUUGGCUUUUUUGCUGUUGAGUUGUAUAAGUUGCUUGUAUAUUCUAGAGAUUAAGCCCUUGUCCAUUGCAUCAUUUGAAACUAUUUUCUCCCAUUCUGUAAGUUGUCUUUUUGUUUUCUUUUGGGUUUCCUUUGCUGUGCAAAAGCUUUUCAGUUUGAUGAGGUCCCAUGGGUUUAUUUUUGCUCUAAUUUCUAUUGCUUUGGGAGACUGACCUGAGAAAAUAUUCAUGAUGUUGAUGUCAGAGAGUGUUUUGCCUAUGUUUUCUUCUAGGAGUUUGAUGGUGUCCUGUCGUAUAUUUAAGUCUUUCAGCCAUUUGGAGUUUAUUUUUGUGCAUGGUGUGAGGGUGUGUUCUAGUUUCAUUGCUUUGCAUGCAGCUGUCCAGGUUUCCCAGCAAUGCUUGCUGAAUAGACUUUCUUUUUCCCAUUUUAUGUUCUUGCCUCCCUUGUCAAAGAUUAAUUGACCAUAGGUGUCAGGGUUUAUUUCCGGAUUCUCUAUUCUGUUCCAUUGGUCUGUCUGUCUGUUUUGAUACCAGUACCACACUGUUUUGAUGACUGUGGCUUUGUAGUAUUUCUUGAAGUCUGGGAGAGUUAUGCCUCCUGCUUGGUUUUUGUUUCUCAGGAUUGCUUUGGCGAUUCUGGGUCUUUUGUGGUUCCAUAUAAAUGUUUGGAUUGUUUGUUCUAGUUCUGUGAAAAAUGUCAUGGGUAAUUUGAUAGGGAUUGCAUUGAAUCUGUAGAUUGCUUUGGGUAGUAUGGCCAUUUUUACAAUAUUGAUUUUCCCAAUCCAGGAACAUGGAAUAUCUUUCCAUUUCUUUACAUCUUCUUUGAUUUCUUUGAUUAAAGUUUUAUAGUUCUCGGCAUAUAGGUCCUUUACCUCCUUGGUCAGGUGUAUUCCAAGGUAUUUGAUUUUGUGAGGUGCAAUUUUAAAAGGUAUCGUAUUUUUGUAUUCCUUUUCUAAUAUUUCAUUGCUGGUAUACAGAAAUGUGACUGACUUCUGAAUGUUAAUCUUAUAUCCUGCUACUUUGCUGAAUUUAUUAAUCAGUUCAAGUAGUUUUGGGGUUGAGUCCUUAGGGUUUUCUGUGUUUAGUAUCAUGUCAUCUGCAUACAGUGACAGUUUUCUCUCUUCUCUUCCUCUUUGUAUCCUUUUAUUUCUUUUGUUUGUUUAAUCACUGUGGCUAGGACUUCCAAAACUAUGUUGAACAGCAGUGAUGGGAGUGGGCAUCCCUGUCUUGUUCCAGAUUUGAGUGAGAAGACUUUCAGUUUUUCUCCAUUGAGUAUUAUAUUUGCUGUGGGUUUGUCAUAAAUGGCUUUGAUCAUGUUCAGGAAUGUUCCCUCUAUACCCACUUUGGCAAGAGUCUUGAUCAUGAAUGGAUGUUGGACUUUGUCACAUGCUUUUUCUGCAUCUGUUGAGAUGAUCAUACGAUUUUUGACUUUUUUUUUUGUUAAUGUGGAGUAUGACGUUUAUUGAUUUGGAUAUGUUGACCCAUCCUUGUGAACCUGGGAUGAACCCCACCUGGUCAUUUUGUAUGAUCCUUUUGAUAUGUUGUUGGAUUUGGUUGGCUAAGAUUUUGUUGAGAAUUUUUGCAUCUAUAUUCAUCAAAGAUACUGGCUUCUAGUUUACUUUUUUGGCGGUAUCUUUUUCUGGUUUUGGAACUAGGGUGAUGGUGGCAUCAUAGAAUGUCUUUGGGAGUGUUCUUCUUCAUCCUUUUGAAAAAGGUUAAGGAGGAUGGGCACCAGAUCCUCUUUGUAUCUUUGGUAGAAUUCACCUGUGUAGCCAUCUGGUCCUGGGGUUUUAUUUGUAGGGAGUGUUUUUAUGAUGUAUUCAAUUUCAUUUCUGUUCAGUUGGUCUGUUUCUUCUUGAUUUACUUUUGGAAGGCUAUAAGAUUCUAGAAAGUUGUCCAUUUUUUCCAGAUUGUCAAAUUUGUUGGCAUAUAGUUGUUCAUAGUAUUCUGGUUUUUUUUUGUUUGUUUGUUUGUUUGUUUGUUUUUUGUAUUUCUUCAGUAUCCAUUGUGAUUUCUCCUUUUUCAUUUCCAAUUUUAUUUGGGUUCUUUCUCUCCUUUUCUUAGUGAGUCUACCAGGGGGUUGUCAAUUUUGUUUACCUUUUCAAAGAACCAGCUCUUGGUUUUAUUAACUUUAUUGUUUUUUGAAUCUCUAUUUUAUUGAUUUCCUCUUUGAUCUUUAUAAUUUCCUUCCUUCGGCUGACUUUAGGUCUUUUUUGUUCUUCUUUUUCUAAUUUGUUUAGGUGGAGGGUUAAGUUGUCAAUUUGAGAUCUUCUUUUUUGAGGAAGGCGUGUAUUGCUAUGAAUUUCCCUCUGAGCACUGCUUUUGCAGUGUCCCAUAGAUUUUGAGAGGUUGUGUCUUCAUUAUGAUUUGUCUCCAGGUAUUUUUAAAUUUCCUUCUCGACUCUCUCAUCCACCCAUUGGUUUUUUAGUAGCAUGUUGUUUAGUCCCCAUGUAGUAGGUUUUUUCUCAUUUCUUUUCCUGUGGUUGAUUUCUAGUUUCAUGCCAUUGUGGUCGGAGGAGAUACUUGAAAUAACUUCUGUGCUUCUAAAUUUGUUGAGGUUAGCUUUGUGUCCCAAUAUGUGGUUGACUCUUGAGAAUGUUCCAUGUGCACUUGAGAAGAAUGUGUAUUCUGAUUUUUUUGGAUGUAGUGUCCUGAAGAUGUCAAUUAAGUCUAUCUUUUCUAUUGUUUCCUUUAAGAUUUCUGUUGCUUUUUGGUUUUCUGUCUAGAGGAUCUGUCCAUUGAUGUGAGCAGGGUACUAAAGUCUCCUACUAUGAUUGUAUUCCCAUCAGUUUCUCCCUUUAUGUCUGUUAAUAUUUGUUGUAUGUAUUGGAAACUCUCUAAAUGCUUCUCCUGAGUAGAAGAGAGAAACCAGUUAUAGUUUAUUCAGAUAAUGGAAUACUAUACAGCAAUGAGGUUUUACAAACUUGGUAUGAAACCAGAUUGAUAAAUCUCAAAAAUACAGUGUUGAGUGAAAGAAGUCAAAUACAAAGAAAGCAUAUUCUUCACAAAGCCAUUACCUAAAGUUCCAAGACAGGCAGAACAAAUUUGUGUUGACUGAAUCCAGGAUUGUUGUCUUCCUUGGGAGAUAUUAACUAGUAGGAGACCUAAUUUAGGGUCUUUUGAGGUGUAUUGAUGUUAAUCUUUGCAUCUGUGUUCUGAUGAUGCAAGGGUGGGUUUAUUUUAUGAAAUUUCAACAUGUCCUCAUCUUUUGGAUUGUGCACUUUUGGGAUUGAAUGAGUCUCAACAAAUAUUGAUAGUGGUUAUCUCAUUGCUGGGUUUGCAGAAUUCUUUUCUUCUUAUACUUCAUUUAUUGCUUGAAUCUUACUAUGAGCAUACAUUGUCUUUUCACAAAAUAUAUAUUAUCCAUCUCACAAUUUAUGACAUUGUUUUUCUUGAAGUUUAUCUAUAAAAUCAAGAUGUUGGCUGUUUGCUUGAAGACCCUUCCACAUGUAUUCAAUUAAUCAAAAUUAGGAGUUCUAGUGUACACCCCUAGUGAAUAGAUUGCCAUUAGUUGGUUAAUGUAUCAGCAAUGAUAUAUAGUGUAUGUUUACAGACAUUUUGUCUUUUGAUUUCAGUUAAUGAACACAAAUGAGAAACAAUCAUGGGAGUAUAUAUGGAAAAAUUAAAAGUGAUGCUUUUGUAUAAUGACACUUUCUAUGAAUUGAGGAUAUAAUCUAACUGAUCAUAUAUACUUGCUUCUGAUGUAUGGACAAAAGUAUUUUUCAGUGACAUUGUCUUUACAAUAAGGAAUAUCAAAUAAGUAUUACUUCAUACAAUAAGUGCUUGAAAUAUAGUUGUGAAAAAGUAAGCAGUGGAUGGUAUGGAUAUAUCUAUAAUUUUAACAACAUUCUACAGAAACAACAGUGUGGGCAGGAAACUGCAAAAAAAAUUUUAGAAGAUUCAUGUUGAAACUAGACUAAUAUUUAAACAGUUUUAAAUAAACAAGGAAGUCAACAAACUGUUUAUAGAGUCAAAUAAUAGUUUUGGCUUUGUGGAUCAGUCUAUGUGACAACUAAUAACUUCAAUAUUUGUAGCACAAAAUCAGCCACAGAUGAUACAGAGACAUGUAAACAAAUGCGAAAGUUUGUGUCACAAUAAACUUUAACAAAAGAACAGGUGACAGACAAGAUUUGGUCCACAGGCCCCCGUUUUCAAAUUCCUAAAAUAGAUUACUAUGGGACUUAGAUUCUGAGCUUUUUUGAUUCUGAUAUGAAAGAGUCAUUUAUAUUAUGAAUUUUAAAUUCAUCACACAAUUCUUUUGAAUCUAUGAACCUAUUUAAGUAUUUUCAUUUCAAUAAAAAUUUCCUAACUUUGAGUGUUUUCCCCCAUGUUUAACUGAUAACUCAAGAUUCUGUGGCUUAAUUAACAUGGAAUUUUUUUCUUCCAGCUAAUCAGGAAAACAAAAUCAGUUUUGUGCCAUUUUGUAUAUGCCAUUGAUAUUUACUAAAUGGAUAAUUAAACUAUGUAGACAAAUAUUUUGGCAAAAAUUUAUGAUGAAUUUAAAAAUGAAUAAUUUUAC
rnacentral:lncRNA from 1 species